rnacentral:rRNA from 1 species
AUGAGCCGGGUGGGCGCGAGGGCGGCGCAGGCCGUGCGGGACGCCGUCGGCAGGUCCGCCGGCAAGGCCGACAGGGCGCAGGCGCAGCAGCAGUCCAUGGCCAGGGCCGGCAGGGCGCCGGCGGAGUCGGCGCGGGCGAAGGCGCCGCUGGCCAGGAAGGCGGCCGAGGAGCAGCGGAGGCGGGCGGCGGCCCAGGAGGAGUCGCUCCGCACCGUCAUGUUCCUCUCCAUGUGGGGCCCCAACGCCUAG